CCUACGGGGGGCUGCAGUCGAGGAUCUUCGGCAAUGGGCGCAAGCCUGACCGAGCGACGCCGCGUGUGGGAUGAAGGCCUUCGGGUUGUAAACCACUGUCAGAGGGGAUGAAAUGCACGUGGGUUCUCUCACGCGUUUGACAUAUCCUCAGAGGAAGUACGGGCUAAGUUCGUGCCAGCAGCCGCGGUAAGACGAACCGUACGAACGUUAUUCGGAAUCACGGGCCUUAAAGGGUGUGCAGGCGGCGGUGGAAAUCCCUCGGCUCAACCGAGGAACUGCGCUCAAAACUGCGUCGCUUGAGGAAGAUAGAGGUGAGUGGAACGUAGGGUGGAGCGGUGAAAUGCGUUGAUAUCCUAAGGAACACCAGUGGCGAAAGCGACUCACUGGGUCUUCUCUGACGCUGAGGCACGAAAGCUAGGGUAGCGAACGGGAUUAGAUACCCUAGUAGUC
rnacentral:rRNA from 1 species